GGAGUGAACAAAACAUUUUUUUUUUCUCUCUCUCUCUUCUCCCCUCAAACUCACGCCUCUCUCUACUCUCUCUUCUCCCUCACUCUUUUCUCUCACUACCACCAUUGAAGAACACUUCCAAGCUCCAAAAACAACUUCUAUACUUAGAUGUCCAUCAAAAAUCAAGCCUAAACAUCAUUUCCCUUGAUUCAAGAGCAAGUUUGAAGGAGCUUCAAGAUUAGAGACAAGAAAGCUUCUACUUUAUAUUGAGAUAAUUGAGCAAGCCCGAGCGAGACGAAAAAGUAAGUCGCCUGUUUUCUUUACAAGCUUGUCGAAGGACUUCAGGUGGGCAUUAUUUUUAUUAUACGUAUAUAGAGAUCCCCUGCGUGUCGUAGGCUUCUUAUACGAUAUUGAUGUGAAUAAUAUGUUUUAACUGUUCAAUUCCAAUUUAAUGAAAAUUAUCAAUGAUGCAUGAUUGAGUUAAAAUGAUGUUGAAACUAAUUGACUUGCCAAUUUUUUGAAUGAUGAUGAGCUUGUAUACUACCCUCUACUGAUGAGACGAAUUCGGUUCUGCCUCAAGCGGGAUUUGUGCACAGAGGUGACUGUGAGCCGUCUAUCGGGUCGGUCGAUCACGGUACUCGAGAGGGAGGCCUACUUCUCGAUAUCUUUGAUGAUAAAUUGUAGAUGUGGUACUUACAUGUUGAGUAAUUUGAUUGCGCAAUCGUUCAUUUGAAUAAUUAUGAUGCUUAUGUUUGAGAUUCAGCUUUCACAGGUUUAUUUAUACUAAAACCCUUGUGAUUUGCUUAAAAUUGUGGCAAGUUCAAUCUAUAGCUCUAAGAGCAGCUUUAAUUGUUUUUCGGCGUAUGCCCACUGAGUAUUAUGUACUCACGCCCUGCAUGUAUUUCUAAAUGUGCAGGCUAAGCGAUGGAGCGAGAUUGGACUGGUGCUGGCGGGGGAUUGUUUUGUUGAUAAAUUUUCUUUGUUGUUUUCCUUUUCUUGAUAGAGUCCUAACGAUGAUACACUUUGCUUUCCUUUUGAAUGUUGAUAAAACCUUAAUGAUGAGAUACAUUGUUUUCUUUUAAUCAAGCAAUUUACUCGCGAUUAUAUGUCUUCAUACAUAUGAUCGAUUCACCUUUUGCUGCGAGACUCUGAAUUUUAUGAUACCUUAUGAAUAUUGAGCUAUACCUCGUUUGUAUUUGUCUUUGAGAUUCCCGAUAUUUAUGGAGAUAUGACGAUGUUGACGUUUA